AAUAAAUAUUUAUGUUUUUAUAUUUUUGUAAAGUAUUAAAUGUUAAAUCAUUAAAUUUAUAAGAUUUGGCGGUGUUUUAAAAAAUUAGAGGAAUCUGUAAUUUAAUUGAUAAUCCACGAUAGGGUCUACUUAUUAAAAAUUUAUUUAUGUAUUGCUGUUUUAAGAAUUUUAUUAAGUAAAGUUUAAAAUUUAAAAAUAUUAAAAUAAUUCAAGUCAAAAUAUAGGUUAAAUGAGAAAUUUAUGGAUUACAAUUUUUUUUAAUAUUGAAUAAUUUAAUUUAAAUUAAAUUAGAAAAUGGAUUUAAUAGUAAAUUUAAUUAAUUAAUUAAAUUGAAUAUUUAAAAUAAAAUAUGU
rnacentral:rRNA from 1 species